GAGCUUUAUUUUUAUUUUUUAUUAAUUAUUAAGAUUAAAAGGGUUUUUAAUUAAAUUAAAAAUUUUACUGGGGUGGUAUUAAAAUUUAAUAAACUUUUAUAAUUAAAUUACAUUAAUAUAUGAAUAAUUGAUCCAAUUUUAUUGAUUAAAAAAUUAAGUUACCUUAGGGAUAACAGCGUAAUUUUUUUUUAGAGUUCAUAUCGACAAAAAAGAUUGC
rnacentral:rRNA from 1 species